GAGAGAGAGACAGCAGAGAGAGAGAGAGACAGGUAGAGAGAGAGAGACAGCAGAGAGAGACAGACAGGUAGAGAGAGAGAGACAGGCAGAGAGAGAGACAGGUGGAGGAACUGCAGGCUGCUGUUGGAGAAUCAGACAGACAGGUAGCAGCUGACCCGUCUGUCGCUCGGGCCUCCUGUCUCACGGUCAGCUGAUCGAUAAGCGAUCAGAGUCAGUAUCGAUGAUGAAGAUGAUGGAGAGUCUUCUCCAGCUGUGACCUUCAGCUCCUCCUCCUCUUCCUCCUCUUCUCUCCUCCUCUGCAGGGGGGAACACACACAUCCGGUUCGGACCUUCACAAUAAAAGCCCCGGCCACCGCCAUCACUGAUGUUGACGUUAAAGAUUAAAACUAAGAUCGAUAAAUAAACAUUAUCAAGUGACUU